rnacentral:rRNA from 1 species
GUAACAGAGGUCCCAAGCCGUUGUUCGGAUUCACUGGGCGUAAAGGGUGCGUAGGCGGUCUGUUACGUCCGCUGUGAAAACCCAGGGCUUAACCCUGGGCUUGCAGUGGAUACGGGUAGACUAGAGGCAGGUAGGGGAGAAUGGAAUUCCCGGUGUAGCGGUGAAAUGCGCAGAUAUCGGGAGGAACACCGGUGGCGAAGGCGGUUCUCUGGGCCUGACCUGACGCUGAGGAGCGAAAGCGUGGGGAGCGAACAGG